AGACAGAGAAAGAAAAAGAAAAAAUAGUAAUGAUACUUAAAGAAAGAGAAAGAAAGAGAGACAAUAACACAGACACACACACACACGGAUAAGGUUCGAAUAAGAAGCACAAGAUGUGGUAAAAUGCUAAGAACACGAUCGUCCUUGUUUCCUCUUGUAAUAUCUCGCGAGGAUAACAGAAAGAGAAGCGAAACUUCUCUACGACGAGGCAUCCGUCGAAGGACUGCCGUCCUACCCGCGCGUCCCUCUGCUACCAUAACCCCCCACCACAGUCAUACCCGAUACUACGCUUGGGCAUAGGAGUGGGGGUAACCCGAUGCUCCAUUGGUGGGGAGUCGCAACCCAGCGAGAGAGAUUCCCAGACCUUUCGUCGGCCAGGUGGCGCAAGGCUUGCUAAGGGGAAGUACGAGCGAAAGAGUGAGACAGAAAAACACGGCGCCAACAACGGACGGCAUCGCCCAAUCUCAGAGAAAGCGAGAGGGAUGAUAUCGUGGACAGAUUAACAUCGAAUUUUCUUUAGCAAUAAAUCCGUUCGUAAAGGUGACCAACAAGCAAGGAAUAAUAUAUUCAUAAUAUAUUCAAAAUUAAUUCCAUCGUACGAUUUAGUAUUGAAGCUGAAACAAAUGUGGGCUCGUUACGAAGAGAUUAACAUAAUUCGUACGACAUUAUUUCGCGUUGGAAUAUUCACAAAUGACAGACAAUGUUAUUACGUUUGAGAUUCUAUGUAAACUCGUCAUAGAAAAAGUUUUCACGCCAAAGAGUCGAGAGGAAUGAAUAAGAGAGAGAGAGAGAGAAAAAAAUAAAAAUAAAAAUAAAUAAAUAAAUAAUAAUAAAAAGAAGGACGUACGAGUCGCUCACACUUGACAAAUCGAUUAAUUUCGUAAAAGAAAAAGUGAAGAAACGUGAUGAAAUAAUCAUAUAAAACGAUAAGAUCAAAAUUGAACUGAUAAGGAUCUUUGUCUUACCCCGACGCCAGGACAUCUUCAACGUUUUAUCAGAGAUUCUCAGGUUGUUGUACGCUCACCGACUACUAUCGAUGGAAUAACUUUGUUGAAGUACAGUACAUCGAAACAUACACGUAACUAAUAGUUAAUACAUAAUUAUCGACCCAUUGAAAUAUCAAAAGCAUAAAAGAAAUAUUUCCAAGGAUGAUAUAUACUGGUACGCUAACGCUGAUUUGAGUUUUCCGGUGUGUCAACAUCAAAGUCACAAACGCACUUGCGUAUUACGUGAGAUGAAAAGAGGGAGAGAGAGAGAGAGAGAGAAAUAGAGGGUGAACGACAUUAGGGACGUCGAACCAUCCAACUCGAGCAACAAGGAUAAUUAUGGCAGGUAAAAAGAGACAACGAUAAAGAAUGGAUGAUAUAAUAGCGCCGCUAAUUGGACCGAUCCAAAAGACCCAAUGAUUUUUCCAAUAUCCAUUCCAAAUAGCUGGUGCGAUUGAUCUAGCUGGAUUCAAGCUACAACCGGUGUAAGGAAUGAAAACGAAGCAAAGAACGGUGACACAAAAGCCAAAUCUCAAUGGUACUGAAUCAGAAUUUUUUUCAUUUCGUGGAUCCCAAACGCCACAUGCAAAGAAUACCAAUAUACCAGUUGCAAUGAUUUCGCUUAACAAUCCUUGAAAAACACUUAUAUUCUGAUGUAAGUCGGUUUUGCAGAAGGAAAUCGUAUCUUCUGGAUUUCCACCGUGUAACAUACCACUCGGUGUUAUUGCCUGAAAUUCAAAAUUUAUUUAAUGUUAUGCUUGAUAAAAAAAAAAAAAAAAAAAAAAAAAAAAGAAAAAAAAGAAAGAAAAAAGAAUUGAAUUAAGAUGAACAAUAUAACAUUUCGUUCGAAUAAUCGAAUGAAAUUUAUUACAUUUCAUAAUAAAUAUUUAUAAUAAUAUUUCUAAUUUUUAUAGUCAUAUCAUGUGUCUGCAACCGAGCAUAUCCUUUUAUGAAUUUGUUUUAUGAACAAUCAUACGAUUAGAGAAAAUAUUUCGAAUUAAAUGCGGAUGACCUUACAUAAAGAUUGUUUGUUCUCGAAAAAAAUAGAAAUAAUGCGACAGGUGUAUCAAAUGUGUUCCCAUAAAUUUUUUCAUUAUGUCCAUAAACGUUCGAAGCUCUCAAAAAUGGCUUUAUGACACGCGUAAUCGUAGUAGUAAACGUAACAAUUGACUGUCCGACUGACCUUUAACAAACCAUAACCGAAGACUCCUCCUAAGCAUUGUGCAAAAAUGUAAAGGCCAGUCAUAGGUAGAGACUUAAGGCCGAGUAUUAAACUGGCCACUGUGAUCGAUGGAUUUAUGUGAGCUCCGCUUAUGUGACCUACGCACUGUGAAGGAAAAAAAAAAAAAGAAAAAAAAAAAAAAAGGAGAAAAACGGAAAAAGACACGAAAUAUAAUGAAAGAGAGAAAAAAAAUAAAAUAGUACGAAGUAAAGAAAAAAGGAAUGAGUGAAAAAAAUUCUACAAAAUUAAUAUUAAUUAAUAAUAAAUUAUUAAUAUUAAUUAAUAAUAAAUCUAUGUGAAAUAAAUUGAGACAAAUGAAUUACAUUAUUUUCCAUUUGUAUUGUUUCUAUACGAGUACGUAUAUGAUUACGUAAAAUACGUAAAAAAUUAAUUACACUGUGGAGAUAAUAAUUGAAAUGAAAAAUUUUUCUCACUGAAAUUUUUUAUACAAAUACCUGAAUCGCAAUCGUGACUGCAAUACCGAAACUCAUGGAAAUUUGAUAAAGUGGUGGAACGAUACCCAUGCUUCCUACGCAACUCAAGCAUCCAAUGAAAACUAAAAUUGCAGUGCCGAUGAUCUCUCCUAGAAGUACCAUGAUUGUCUCGUAGAUCGACUUCUCUUCUUUUAUUAGAUUUUUUAACCCUGUAAUAAACGAUAAAGAAAAAAAAAAUGAUAUAUAUAUAUAUAAUUAUUAAAAAUAAUAUAUCUUGUUUUGACUAAUUAUUAAAGAAAAUUAAUUAAUGAAUAACAUUAUUUUUGCGAAUCAGAUUUCAUCCUAAAUUAAGAUAUUUUUCAAUAAGAAAAAAAGAAACGAUUAUUAUGAAAGAAAAAAAGAAAAUUCUGAGUGCGUCGUUUCCUAAGGGACACACAAAAAAGCGGUGGAAAAAUUCAAAAGGCAAAAAAAAAAAGAGGAAAAAAAAAAUAGGAAAAAGGAAAAAGAAAAAUGAAUUCAUGAUAGAUGAGAGGUAAUCGGACGUGACGUAAGACGAAAGUUUGCCAUUUUUGCGCACGAUCGGCUUCUAUUCGUGUCGACGAAAAAUAAAUAAUUCGUAAGGCACUUUAGAAAAUCACGCUGGGCUAACUUUGAGAAAACCAAAUAUAUAUAUAUAUAUAAAAAGAGAGAGAGAGAGACAGAGAAAUAGAGAAAUAGAAAGAGACUAUAGAUGUCGAAAACAUUUUCAUAAAGUUCCUGACAUUCGACGUCAAUUUCCUUCAAAAAAAAAAAAAAAAUUGAUAUAUUCUCCCUUAGUUC